UUAUGAAGUUAGCGGCGGACGUGGUGAGUAACACGUGGGUAACCUGCCCAUAAGACUGGGAUAACUCCGGGAAACCGGGGCUAAUACCGGAUAACAUUUUGAACCGCAUGGUUCGAAAUUGAAAGGCGGCUUCGGCUGUCACUUAUGGAUGGACCCGCGUCGCAUUAGCUAGUUGGUGAGGUAACGGCUCACCAAGGCAACGAUGCGUAGCCGACCUGAGAGGGUGAUCGGCCACACUGGGACUGAGACACGGCCCAGACUCCUACGGGAGGCAGCAGUAGGGAAUCUUCCGCAAUGGACGAAAGUCUGACGGAGCAACGCCGCGUGAGUGAUGAAGGCUUUCGGGUCGUAAAACUCUGUUGUUAGGGAAGAACAAGUGCUAGUUGAAUAAGCUGGCACCUUGACGGUACCUAACCAGAAAGCCACGGCUAACUACGUGCCAGCAGCCGCGGUAAUACGUAGGUGGCAAGCGUUAUCCGGAAUUAUUGGGCGUAAAGCGCGCGCAGGUGGUUUCUUAAGUCUGAUGUGAAAGCCCACGGCUCAACCGUGGAGGGUCAUU
rnacentral:rRNA from 1 species